rnacentral:rRNA from 1 species
GACGUAGGGCGCGAGCGUGUCCGGAUUUAUUGGGCGUAAAGAGCUCGUAGGCGGCUUGUCGCGUCGUCUGUGAAAUCCCGCGGCUCAACUGCGGGCUGGCAGUCGAUACGGGCAGGCUGGAGGGAGAUAGGGGUGUGCGGAACUUCCAGUGGAGCGGUGAAAUGCGUUGAUAUUGGAAGGAACGCCGGAGGCGAAAGCGGCGCACUGGAUCUCUUCUGACGCUGAGGCGCGAAAGCUAGGGGAGCAAACGGGG